GUUCUACGUUACUGAAACAAUUAAGAUUGAACACAAUGAAUAAAUAGAUCAAUUCCAAAUAAAAAACAUUAAUAAAUUAACCAUAAUGGCAUUUGUCUGGGCAGGGACUUAUACCCUGGUCCGGGAAAACUAACAUGUUGACACAUUAACACUGGGGGCUGACGAGGUCAAAGCGUAGUCCGUUUCGCUACGACGUCGGGUAUAUGUUUUACUACGAAAACAUUGUGUAAAUACACUACUUAAUCAGGCGAGGUUUAUCUUUUCUGGUGUUUAUGGAUUAGAGAACGGAACAUCCAGUAAUGAUAUGAGCUAACAGCAAAGAACAGCUGCUCUUUUAAGGCAGGCAGCAGAAUUGUUGAAUGUCAACACAAGUGACAGGAGUACACAAUACCAGCACCUGCAUCAAUAACCUCUGUCAGAAGCACUAGUGCUGCAAAGACAAUUUUUGCUCCCGACAGUAAAAGAAGGAGGCAUGGACAUGCAAAUACAGGAACUGUGGCAGUGCCAGCACUAGACUAUUAUACCCAGGAGUAAUAAGUAAAUGCAGGUCCCUGGUUACAACUAAUGACCACCUGUUGAAGGAGCUAGAUGAGACCCGGGAGAGACACCAGCACAGAGGUGAAUCAGAUUAACUGGAGCUACAAGCAGCUCAAGAAAAACCUUCAGAGACCAGUCUAAAUGUUCUGAUAAUGAUAAUAGAAUAUGCUUUGUGUUUUAGUGCUAAGAAUUUGGCUGCUCUGUAUUCAAUAUCUGAAGUGGUAUUUUAUUAAGAUUUAGAAAAAAAUAAAGAUUUAUGCAUGUGGGUGAAGUGUCGUCCCAGAUUAGCUUAUGUUGUCCACACAUUAUUAUCUGGGACAACACUUUCGGCCUAGACUGGAUUUUUUUAAAUACUUUCUUUAAACGAAAAAUCUCAUAAAACCAGAAAGUGUCUUCCCUGAUUAGCCUGUGCGGACCGUACAAGUUAAUCUGUGACGGCACUUUAGGAACAUGCAUUAAACCCCAUUUUCCCAGAGUAUAGGUCAAUUGUAUUUAUUUCCUUUUAAUAUUCACAUCCCCUUUCUUUUAGGAUCAUACAGAUUCUAAAUGCCUAUUUAUUCAGUCAUAACCAAAAAGUGUUAUAAGAUCUUUGUUAAGACAGGACCCUGAAUUCUAGCAUUUA